AUGUAACACAAUGGUUCCACUAACUUGUUAUAUUUUCCACUAAUGUCCUUCCUGCUUCCAUCUACAUUGCUGCCCCAUCACUCCUCUACCAAAUCCCAGCUUCAUGGUGGAUUCAUCUACAGGAAUCCACACCUACGGCAGUUCUCCUAGAAACCAUCUGCCCGAAGUUCAUCUCCCUACCACUCUAGUUUGUGACAGAACAGAGAAUUGUUACAGCUGAGAUCAUAGACAAAUCUUAUGUUGCAACAACAGGUUUGGAGGUUAUGCUGAGAAUUAAAAUGUCAAGGUUCAAAAAAUAGAUGCUUCAAGUAUUUAAUCUCUUCCAAAUACUCUUAUCAUGUUCCUUUCAGUGGUUAGAGCCCACAACUAAGAUAUGUUUGCUUCACACUCAUGCUUGUAAUACGCCUAUAUGGUUUCUUAUUUCAUCAUGUCCACGUUUGUAAUUCACUGGUGCUUGACCGAUAGUAGAGGUUAACCUUUUUUUUUUUUGAGCCAAAGCUUCCAGUAUUGUACUAAUUAUCUGUGCUCUUUGGUGCAGCGCUCACUCAACAUAUUGAUAUGUAAGUCAAUUUUAACAAAUAACUCUUUGCUU